rnacentral:rRNA from 1 species
GAUCAUGGCUCAGGAUGAACGCUAGCGGCAGGCUUAACACAUGCAAGUCGAGGGGCAGCAUUCGGGUAGCGAUACCUGAGAUGGCGACCGGCGCACGGGUGCGUAACGCGUAUGCAACCUACCCAUAACAGGGGCAUAACACUGAGAAAUUGGUACUAAUUCCCCAUAAACAUUCGAAGAGGCAUUCUUUUCGGGUUAGAAAACUCCGGUGGUUAUGGAUGGGCAUGCGUUGUAUUAGCUGGG